rnacentral:lncRNA from 1 species
AUGCCUGCUUUCUCGUCUCCAUCUUUUCACCCCCAUGUUUCCCUUGUCUGUUUCUCUGGCCCAUCCCAGCAGAGGCGCCAUCUCUCAGACGACUCUCGGGGUGACCUGCUGGGGCCUCGGGGAGGGACAAGCCUCCUGGGGACAGAGGAAAAGGAAGUAAAGAAGCCACUGGAGGAAGACCUUUGGGGGAUCUCGAAUCCUGGAAGCAAGCUCCCUCCCCAAAUCUUGAAUGUUAAUGUGUAG